rnacentral:rRNA from 1 species
UACGGAGGGGGCAAGCGUUGUUCGGAUUUACUGGGCGUAAAGGGUGUGUAGGCGGUUGCGUCAGUCUGGUGUGAAAUCUUCACCGCUCAACGGGAAGGAGCCACUGGAAACUGCGCAACUCGAGUAUGGUAGAGGCUAGCGGAAUUCCUGGUGUAGCGGUGGAAUGUGUAGAUAUCAGGAAGAACAUCUGUGGCGAAGGCGGCUAGCUGGGCCAUCACUGACGCUGAGACACGAAAGCGUGGGGAGCGAA